UUUUCCACAGUCGUCCUAAAUGCUUCGACUGUGUGUUUCAUGUUCAGUUCUUGCAUCUCCAGCCAUAUAGCUUUUCUUCCUCUUUCGGGGAAUACUUCCUCGCUCUGCUCAUUUAAAUGCUUCUGCCUUUAUGACUAUUUUACUGCCAUACCUAUGGGGCUUCUUACUGUAUUUGCCUGUAACUGAAGGAGACUUUAAAGGAAUUAAAUUUAUUCAGACUAAAUCUUCUGGGGGAUGCAAAGUCAUCUUAAACAAUUAGCAAUAAUUAAAAAGCAUCUAUUCAGACUGGAUAAAAGGCAGUUGGAUAAACCCUCAAGAUCCACACAUCUAGAGCUAAGAGCAUGCACUGGGGAAAGGAAAGGCUUUCCAGUUAGUGGUACUGGUAAAGUGGAUGUCCACAUGCUGAAGAAAGAAACCAGUAUAUCUCCUAACAGUUAAAAAAAUCAACUUGAAAUGGAUUAAGGCUUAAACGGAGAACCUGCAAUUGCAAAACUACUAGAAGAGAAAUGCUUGGGGACUUUGGAAUGGACAAGGAAUUUUUUUAGACAAGAUUCCUUGAAGCACAGAAAAUAAAAGCAAUAAUAGACAAGUGGGAAUACAUCAAAAUAAAGAGUCUACACAGCCAAGAAAGCAAUGCACAGAGUGAAGAGACACAGCCUAAACGAUGGGAGAAGACAACAUCUAACAAAGGGUCAAAACCCAGAAUACAUAAGGAAUUCCAAAAACUCAAUAGCAAAAGUCCAAAUAACCAAAUUUAAAAAUGAGUAAUAGAUCUAAAUAGUCAUUUCUCCAAAGAAGACAGUCGAAUGAACAACAGGUAUAUUAAAAUAUGCUUGACAUCAUUAAUCAUCAAAAAAAUCCAAAUCAAAACUGCAGAGAGAUUCACCUCCCCUCAGUAAGAAUGGCAUUAUGAAGAAGACUAAAGGUAGAAUGUGCUGCAAGGCUGUGGAGACAUGGGGACCCUUCCACACUGUCAAUGAGGACAGCCACUAUGGAAAAUAGCAUGGGGGCUUCUCAAAGAAAUUAAAAAUGGAACUAUCACAUGAUCCAGCAAUUCCAUGACUGAGUGUAUAUUCAAAGGAAAUGGAAUCAGUACACCAAGGAGACAUUUGCAUUGCCAUGGUCACAGGAGCACUGUCUACCACAGCCAAGGGACAGAAGCAUUGUCUGCUGAGGGUUAAAGGCUGUGUGGUUCCUAUACACAGUGGAACACAAAAAGUGAAAUCCUGUCCUUUGCAACCACAAGGACAGAACUGGAGAUCAUUUUGCUCAAUGAAAUAAGGCAGGCACAGAAAGACAAGUAUUUGCAUCAUCUCUCUCCAUCUCAGAGAAGUUGAGAAUAGAAUAGAGGUUCCAGGGGCUGGGGAGGGGAGCAGGAAAGGGUGAUCAAUUGGUUCUAAAUGACGGUGAGGUAGGAAUAAGAAGUUCUGGUGUGCUGUUGCUCAGUAGGGUGACCAGAGAUGAUAAUGCCCAGUUGUAUAUUACAAAAGCUCAAAGAAAGGAUUUUAAAAGUUGUUAACCUAAGGAAAUGUAAAUGUUGGAGCAGAUAAGUAUGUUUAACCUGAUGUAAACAUUACACAAUGUACAUAUGAAUCAAAACACUUCACGGUGAUCGAUUAAUAUGUGCGAUUUUUGCUUUGUGUAUCUGUUAAAAAUAAAUUCAAUUAUAAAAGCCAUAACAGUAACAAAAGCAUAAAUUUAAGUGAUAUAAAUAAGCAGUCCAAACAAAUACAUAAAAUACAUACGGGGUAGGAAAAACUGUGCAUUAUUCAGUUAGCAAUAAAAUUUUUAUAAGAAAUAAAACAAAAAUAAAAUCAUAAUUUGCCUCAGUUUAAAGAAUAUUUUAAAGAUUAAUAUUUUUCAGUUAAAAAAAACUUUCAGCCUCAUAUACUAGAGAAAAAAACACUACUAAUUGAGAGAAGCAUGGAGAGGGCAAUUUAGUAGCUAUUAAAAUUAAGAUGUCUAUCAUAAGGUAAUUAAAAAAUAUUCUAUUUAUAUAUAUUAUAAAACAAAAUCUAACACUAUUCAGUGAUUUAAAAAUUAAUUAAGUUCAUAUCCAAUGAUAUAGCAUUUUCAAAUAUAUUUAAAGUCUCAAUAUUUUCAGUAUCAAGUAAGCCUAAACAUAAAAUUUACAUAGAGGCAUAUAAAAUAAAUGACAUGUAACAUUCAUACAAACGUAUAAAAACUCCAAACUCCAAGGUGGCUACUUAAUUAGUGUAGGGAGGGAAUAAAAAUGGACUUUUAAUAUCUUAUUAAUUUCUUAAUAUUUAUAAUGUAUAUGAUGAGCAUGUACUUGUGGAUCAAUUUUUCAAUUGUGAUAACAUAAAUUUACAUUCUAUAACUUACAAAAAGAUUGAGAAGUUCUUGAGGCAAAAAAUUUAACAUUGAUAAUUCAACAAAGAUUUAAAACUGGAAUGAUAAAUAUAAGAUAAAUAAAUUACAGCAUAUAAUAUGAAUAAAGCAUGAACUAAAGCCUGCUUUUAAUUCUCUGUCAGUAUUUUAAAAACUAAUAGAAUAGAAGAGAAAAACAAACACCUACGGUGUGUAUGACUUUUCUUCUUCCUCUUUGUCUUCUCCAGGGAUCUACUAAAGGAUUAAGAAAUAAAUGAAGCUAAAAUAUUGUGUGGAGCAUAAUGUAAACUCUUUGGAACCCUUGAGGAUCGUGAUGGUCUGAGUAAACUCAUUCUUAGUUGAAAAUUCACCCUAAAAUUUUCAACAGUGUAAAUUUAGUUUAAUUAAUUCAAAUAACAAUAUUUCUAAAAUAUAAAGUCUCCUGACUUUUUAAAUGUGGUCCUGCUGUUAUUAUUAUAUAAGAUAGUGAUAGGUUCAGAACCUGUCAAAGUAUAAAUUUCCACUUUGUCCUGUAUCUAUGUCUAUGAAACAGUAGCUACCAUUCUUCCUGAAUGGCUCAGUACAGAUCAUAGCCUAAGCAAAGAUUUGAAAAGAAAGUUAAUGUUAAACUUGCAUCUCAAUUUCAACCUUGUAUUUUGAAAAUUAAUAAAUAAAUAUAAGAAAAAAACCCAAAACUAGUAGCUGAGAUUAUCCUACAUUAUCCCCUGCUGGAAUCCACUAACAAAAUCUACUAAUGAAAUUGAAUGUUUUCCGUAGUUUCUGAAAUGUUGAAAGUGAUCAUUUUCUGUUAAUAGUCAUAGACUUACUUGGUGAUGGCGGCUCCUGUUGUAAUUUUUUCUUUCUAAAUUUGACUUAAAAGUUGGAUAAAAAGUUGAGGGCACUAUGAGUUAAGUAAAAAAUAAGUCAUUUCAAGAAGUAAAUGAAAUAAAUCAUCUCUGAACAGUAGCUCCAGAGGCUUUUUGCUAAAGUAAUAGUCAAUUUGAACUUUCUCUAAUUGGUUUUCUUUCCAGGAGUCUUAAUUUCUUGAUUCACACUUUGUACCAGGUUCCAAACAGAUAUUAUUUUGAGGUGGCUUGGGCUAGAAUUCAUGAUAUGUGAUGGGCAUGAUUGCAAUUUUCUUUUUCUUUCUUUCUUUUUUUUUAAUAAAUGUGGCAGAGUUUUUAAAGUA